rnacentral:tRNA from 1 species
UACAAGGUGGUUGAGAUUAAACAAUAAACUGUAAAUUUAUAUACGGGUUAGUAUACCCCCUUGUGU